UAACACUAUGUUUGGAUGCCAAAGAGAUAGGGAAGAGAGAAAUAGUGAAGAGAGAAAUAAGAGAGAAGAGAGAUAGAAGAGAAAUUGGAUAGAAAUUUUAUAUGGUUUGGAUGAAUAGAAAAGUGAGAAGAGAGAAAUUAAUAAAAAUGAGAAAAUAACAAAUUUACCCUUUUCUACAAGAAAAUAAAUUAGGUGAAUGAGAGUAUUGUUGUAAAAUUGUUUAUUUCACUUCUUGUCACACAAAUCUCUCCUAAUAUGGAGAGAUUUAUUUUUGGCAGUUAUUAAUCAUUAUAUUUCUCUCUUUCCUUAUUUC
rnacentral:lncRNA from 1 species